UUCUGCGAUGGGGUGACGGAGUAGUGAAAGGCAUGCGUACUGACGGAAUAGUACGUUGAAGGGUGUAGAUAUAUUUUCGGCAGGUAAAUCCGCUGAGAAUGUCGAACCUGAUAGUACCGUGAGGCUUCGGCCAAGCGGAUAAUUGCCCUAAACAGACUUCCAGGAAAAACCUCUGAGCAUCAGGUUAUUGGCGCCCGUACCGGAAACCGACACAGGUGGUCGAGGAGAGUAUCCAAAGGUGCUCGAGUGAAUCAUAGUUAAGGAACUAGGCAAAUUAGUCCUGUAACUUCGGGAGAAAGGACGCCCCGCCCAUGGCGGGGCCGCAGAGAAAUGGCCCAGGCGACUGUUUAUCGAAAACACAUGGCUUUGCUAAAUCGAAAGAUGACGUAUAAGGCCUGACACCUGCCCGGUGCUGGAAGGUUAAGAGGAGAUGUCAUUCGCAAGGAGAAGCAUUGAAUUGAAGCCCCAGUAAACGGCGGCCGUAACUAUAACGGUCCUAAGGUAGCGAAAUUCCUUGUCGGGUAAGUUCCGACCUGCACGAAUGGUGUAACGAUCUGGGCACUGUCUCAACUAUGAGCUCGGUGAAAUUGUAGUUCCGGUGAAGAUGCCGGAUACCCGCAACGGGACGGAAAGAUCCCGUGAACCUUCACUAUAGCUUAACAUUGACAUUGAAUAAACGAUGUGUAGGAUAGGUGGGAGAUUGUGAAGCGGCUUCGCCAGGAGUCGUGGAAUCAUCCUUGAAAUACCACCCUUUGUUUAUUCGGUGCCUAAUCCCGCGAAUGCGGGAGACAUUGUUUGGUGGGUAGUUUGACUGGGGUGGUCGCCUCCAAAAGAGUAACGGAGGCUUUCAAAGGUACCCUCAGCACGCUUGGUAACCGUGCGUAGAGUGCAAUGGCAUAAGGGUGCUUGACUGUGAGACCUACAAGUCGAUCAGGUAGGAAACUAGGACAUAGUGAUCCGGUGGUUCCGUAUGGAAGGGCCAUCGCUCAAAGGAUAAAAGGUACUCCGGGAUAACAGGCUGAUCACUCCCAAGAGCUCACAUCGACGGAGUGGUUUGGCACCUCGAUGUCGGCUCGUCACAUCCUGGGGCUGGAGAAGGUCCCAAGGGUUCGGCUGUUCGCCGAUUAAAGUGGCACGUGAGCUGGGUUCAGAACGUCGCGAGACAGUUCGGUCCCUAUCUGUUGUGGGCGUUAGAAGUUUGAGAGCACCUGACUCUAGUACGAGAGGACCGAGUCGGACAUACCUCUUGUGUACCUGUUGUUGCGCCAGCUGCAUCGCAGGGUAGCCACGUAUGGACGAGAUAAGCGCUGAAAGCAUCUAAGUGCGAAACUCAGCUCAAGAUGAGACUUCUUUUAAGGGUCGUUGUAGACUACAACGUUGAUAGGUCGCAGGUGUAAA
rnacentral:rRNA from 1 species